rnacentral:rRNA from 1 species
GAUGAACGCUGGCGGCGUGCCUAAUACAUGCAAGUCGAGCGAACAGACGAGGAGCUUGCUCCUCUGACGUUAGCGGCGGACGGGUGAGUAACACGUGGAUAACCUACCUAUAAGACUGGGAUAACUUCGGGAAACCGGAGCUAAUACCGGAUAAUAUAUUGAACCGCAUGGUUCAAUAGUGAAAGACGGUUUUGCUGUCACUUAUAGAUGGAUCCGCGCCGCAUUAGCUAGUUGGUAAGGUAACGGCUUACCAAGGCAACGAUGCGUAGCCGACCUGAGAGGGGGAGAGGCCACACUGAACCUGAGACACGGACACGACCAAUACGUGGGCGGAGAGUAGGAGAUCGUGCGCAAUAGGCGACAGCAAGCUGAAUCACAAUCGAGAGGGAGCUACAGGUCUUCAGAUAGUAAUCAUCUUUUAGUAGGGAAUAACAAAUGUGUAAGCGGCUAUGCACGUGUUGUCGGAAGCUGAGCAGAAAGCAAGGGCACAGUACGUC